GGGUGAGUGGGUUGGUGGGGGGUGUGGAAAGAGGGGGGGGGGAUAGGAAGGGAUUUCGGUGGGUGGGUGGUAUUGGUUGGGAGGGAAGGAGGAGAGAAGGGGCAUGGAGGUUUGCAGUGGGGGUAGGUCUUUAAUAACUACCAUCCCGCUCACCUCCCUCCCUCCCCUCCUACCAGUAAUAGCUACCUCCCUACCUACCAGCCUGCCUACCAACCUCCCUCCCUCCCUGCCUCACUCCCACCACGCCUGCCUGCCAUCCUACCCGCCCACUUGCGAACCUGCAACACACCUCCCUCAAAACACACUGACUGGCACACACAAGACUGAGUCCACUAAAAACACACUGACUGGCACACACAAAACACAAGACUGAGUCCACUAAAAACACACUGACUGGCACACACAAAA